rnacentral:rRNA from 1 species
UACAGAGGUCUCAAGCGUUGUUCGGAUUCAUUGGGCGUAAAGGGUGCGUAGGUGGCGCCGUAAGUCAGGUGUGAAAUUCGGAGCUUAACUCCGAAACUGCAUUUGAUACUGCGGUGCUUGAGGACUGGAGAGGAGACUGGAAUUCACGGUGUAGCAGUGAAAUGCGUAGAUAUCGUAAGGAAGACCAGUGGCGAAGGCGGGUCUCUGGACAGUUCCUGACGCUGAGGCACGAAGGUCAGGGGAGCAAACGGG